GCCGCGCCCAGAAAUAACCGGACGAACGACGGGGCGCCAAGUUCGUCCAGCUGAAAAAGGCCACAAAAACUGGUGGGCUAUAGCCUUGGGGGGUGGGGCUGCCCAACUUCGUCCGCCGGACUCGGAAUGCCGCGAGACUUUGCGAGGGGUCUCCGUGUGCAAAAAAUAGGCCGCGGACAAAGCCGCACCCAAAAAUAACCGGCCGAAGGCCGGGGCGCCAAGUUCGUCCAGCGGAAAAAGGCCACAAAAACGGGUUGGCUAUAGCCUUGGGGGGUGGGGCUGGCCCACUUCGUCCGCCGGACUCGGAAUGCCGCGAGACUUUGGGAGGGGCCUCCGUUUACCAAAAAUAGGCCACGGGCAACGCCGCGCCCAAAAAUAACCACCCGAAGGCCGGGGCGCCAAGUUCGUCCAGCGGAAAAAGGCAACAAAAACGGGUGGGCUAUAGCCUUGGGGGGUGGGGCUGGCCAACUUCGUCCGCCGGACUCGGAAUGCCGCGAGACUUUAUGAGGGGCCUCCGUGUGCCAAAAAUCAGCCGUGGACAAAGCCACGCCCAGAAAUAACCGCCCGAAGGCCGGGGCGCCAAGUUCGUCCAGCGGAAAAAGGACACAAAAACGGGUGGGCUAUAGCCUUGGGGGGUGGGGCUGGCCAACUUCGUCCGCCGGACUCGGAAUGCCGCGAGACUUUGCGAGGGGCCUCCGUGUGCCAAAAAGAGGCCGCGGGCAAAGCCGCAUCCAAAAAUAACCGCCCGAAGGCCGGGGCGCCACGUUCGUUCAGCGGAAAAAGGCCACAAAAACGGGUGGGCCUUGGUGGGUGGGGCUGGCCAACUUCGUCCGCCAAGAAAUAACCGUCCGAAGGCCGGGGCGCCAAGUUCGUCCAGCGGAAAAAGUCCACAAAAACGGGUGGGCUAUCGCCUUGGGGGGUGGGGCUGGCCCACUUCGUCCGCUGGACUCGGAAUGCCGCGAGACUUUGCGAUGGGCCUCCGUGUGCCAAAUAUAGGCCGCGGACAAUGCCGCGCCCAAAAAUAACCGCCCGAAGGCUGGGGCGCCAAGUUCGUCCAGCGGAAAAAGGCCACAAAAACGGGUGGGCUAUAGCCUUGGGGGGUGGGGCUGGCCAACUUCGUCCGCCGGACUCGGAAUGCCGCGAGACUUUGCGAGGGCCCUCCGUGUGCCAAAAAUAGGCCGCAGGCAAAGCCGCGCCUAGAAAUAACCGCCCGAGGGCCGGGGCGCCAAGUUCAUCCAGCAGAAAAAGGCCACAAAAAACGGGUGGGCUAUAGCUUUGGGGGGUGGGGCUGGCCAACUUCGUCCGCCGGACUCGGAAUGCCGCGAGGCUUUGCGAGGGGCCUCCGUGUGCCAAAAAUAGGCCGUGGACAAAGCCGCGCCCAAAAAUAUGUGCCCGAAGCCCGGGGCGCCGAGUUCGUGCAGCGGAAAAAGGCCACAAAAACGGGCGGGCUAUAGCCUUGGGGGUUGGGGCUGGCCAACUUCGUCUGCCGGACUCGGAAUGCCGCGAGACUUUGCGAGGGGUCUCCGUGUGCCAAAAAUAGGCCGCGGGCAAAGCCGCGCCCAAAAAUAAUCACCCGAAGGCCGGGGCGCCAAGUUCGUCCAGCGGAAAAAGGCAACAAAAACGGGUGGGCUAUAGCCUUGGGGGGUGGGGCUGGCCAACUUCGUCCGCCGGACUCGGAAUGCCGUGAGACUUUGCGAGGGGCCUCCGUGUGCAAAAAAUAGGCCACGGGCAAAGCCGCGCCCAGAAAUAACCGCCCGAAGGCCGGGGCGCCAAGUUUGUCCAGCGGAAAAAGGCCACAAAAACGGGUGGGCUAUAGCCUUGGGAGGUGGGGCUGGCCCACUUCGUCCACCGGACUCGGAAUACCGCGAGACUUUACGAGGGGCCCCCGUGUGCCAAAAAUAGGCCGCGGACAAAGCCGUGCCAAGAAAUAACCGGCCAAAGGCCGGGGCGCCAUGUUCGUCCAGCGGAAAAAGGCCACAAAAACGGGUGGGCUAUAGCCUUGGGGGGUGGGGCUGGCCAACUUCGUCCGCCGGACACGGAAUGCCGCGAGACUUUUCGAGGGGCCUCCGUGUGCCAAACAUAGGCUGCGGAUAAAGCCGCGCCCAAAAAUAACUGCCCGAAGCCCGGGGCGCCGAAUUCGUCCAGCGGAAAAAGGCCACAAAAACGGGUGGGCUAUAGCCUUGGGGGUUGGGGCUGGCCAACUUCGUCCGCCGGACUCGGAAUGCCGCGAGACUUUGCGAGGGGCCUCCGUGUGCAAAAAAUAGGCCGCGGGCAAAGCCGCGCCCAAAAAUAACCACCCGAAGGCCGGGGCGCCAAGUUCGUCCAGCGGAAAAAGGCAACAAAAACAGGUGGGCUAUAGCCUUGGGGGGUGGGGCUGGCCAACUUCGUCCGCCGGACUCGGAAUGCCGCGAGACUUUGCGAGGGGCCUCCGUGUGCCAAAAAUUGGCCGCGGACAAAGCCGCGCCCAGAAAUAACAGCCCGAAGGCCGGGGCGCCAAGUUUGUCCAGCGGAAAAAGGCGACAAAAACGGGUGGGCUAUAGCCUUGGGGGUUGGGGCUGGCCCACUUCGUCCACCGGACUCGGAACGCCGCGAAACAUUGCGAGGGGCCACCGUGUUCCAAAAAUACGCCGAGGGCAAAGCCGCGCCCAAAAAUAACCGCCCAAAGGCCGGGUCGCCAAGUUCGUCCAGCGGAAAAAGGCCACAAAAACGGGUGGGCUAUAGCCUUGGGGGGUGGGGAUGGCCCACUUCGUCCGCCGGACUCGGAAUGCCGCGAGACUUUUCGAGGGGCCUCCGUGUGCCAAAAAUAGGCCGCGGGCGGAGCCGCGCCCAAAAAUAACCACCCGAAGGCCGGGGCGCCAAGUUCGUCCAGCGGAAAAAAGCCACAAAAAUGGGUGGGCUAUAGCUUUGGGGGGUGGGGCUGGCCAACUUAAUCCGCCGG
rnacentral:lncRNA from 1 species